ACAGAAUGAAUAGUUUUGGCAUAACCAGGCACGAACUUAAACCAGCACUGCCAGAUGCAAUCAAACUUCUCAGCAAGCAUGAUUCUCCCUACCUGAAAACUAAAUCAGUGCUGCGUGAAUCUGUUAUCUUCCAUCUCACUGUUCAAAACCGGAUCUGGGCUGACAGCAGUAACACUGAGACAGCUUGCAAUCACCAUGGACGUCUCUGGAGCCUUCCAACUCAAGCUCAGCACAGUGCUCUGUGUUUGAAAGCAUAUGGCCAACAAAACAAAGAGCUUGCAGCUGGAAUUUGAAUGUGGCACAAACUGAAUGGCUUUAAAAAUCAAGGUGGUUGGAACAGUGUGAGACCCCAUGGACAAUGUGUGUUUUGCUGGAGUCACUACAACCUUUCACUUGCCUUUGUCGUGGCUGCAAGGUGUGGAGACGUCUGUGAAUACACACGAUCUUGUGUGCAUGCACAAGUGUACAUGUUCAUGUUCCUUGUGGCACUGGAAUUGGUUUCCAACUGGCAUGUAUCCUUAUUUUGAAUUUUCUGUUGGCUGAAACACAAGAGAGGACAACUUGUGCUUCCCUGCUGCUGCUCAGAAGUAUAGCCGAAGAACUUGUAAAUAAGAUGUCAAGAUUGCAGUGGACCCGUGGGCUCUGAAGACAGCUGUGGGAAAUGAACUGCACAAAGCUUUACCAUGUGCAGACUGUCUUAAUGAGUGCAGGAGAGUUAACAAAUGCAGCUUUUAAAGCAAGGACAAUCCAAAUGAGCAAGCAGUGGGAAGUUUACAUUUGAAAUCAAAAUGUGUUUUUUACUUUAAAAAUACUUGUUUCCGAAGGAGGAAUAAUUCUGCUGGGUGUCUGGUCUUUUCUGUUUAAGCAGGAAUUGUAACAGUAAAUGGUUUUACUGGAGAGAGUAACAUUUGUUAGCAGUCAAUAUAACAAGUAAAGGGAAAAGGAUCCUGAUUUUAGCUUACCAAGGCAGUAGGUGGUCACCAACAUAGAAAAUGUUAAUAUUCUACCCUUCACAGAUAGGCUAUGUCUAUCUAUCAGUGUAUUUCUAAGUACCCAAUCAUUGUCACAUCUCCCUGGGUACUUUACAAAAUCAGAUAAACCAUGGCAACUGAAUAAUAAUGUGGCUUGAAAGAAAAAGCCAUUAACAAAAAGAAAUGCAUUCUCCCCCUCUAGUUCCUUAAUUUAAAAUUCACACCAGGCUCCAGCAAUCUGAAUAUUAGAAAAAAAUUUCAAAGAGAAUACACAAUGACUAAGUGGUUAUAUAUUCCUAUCCCCUCCCCGAAGAAUAAAUGACAACUGUGCUUGGCAGAAACCUGAGGAGUUGCACUAUAUGCAAUCAGACCAAUUGUAUCCAGUUUUUUUUGCCUCCAGGCAUGGCCAGCAGCAAACUGUUUUUGCACAGCAUGUUUGGUCUUAAGCUUUGUAGCUCCAAAGGAAGGCUAAGCAACUACAGUGCAACUCUUCAGUGCGAGCCACAGGAAAGUAUAUUUGCUUUGUGCAUUUUCCAUCCAUGGAGAACAGGAAGGCAUAUUUGCCUCUUGCAUUUCCAUCCAUGGAGAACAGGAAGGCAUAUUGCCUCCUACAUUUUCCAUUUUGGCCAACAGGGCAGCAGUCAGUCUCAUUAAGGCUGCUGGCAGCUGUGGUGUGUCAGGGACUGUGCUAUAACUGCAGAGCCCUUCCCCAUCACGUGGCAGUGCAUCAGAGACUGAUAGAGCCCACUUGCUCUGUUCAGCAUAGAAGUAUCUGAUUAUUGCUAAGCUUUCAAGAGUGGUUUGGUGGUGGCAAACUGCACAUGACAGUUGUAUAACACACAGACAAGAAUUAUCUUUGAGCAAUUUCUGAUCUCUACAAGGGUGGUUUCUUUUCUUAAGUUUGAAAGCAUCAAUAGUCAACUCCAAUUUCUACCCUAUUUUCUGCAUUAUAUGCUUGCUCAUUUUCCUGUCCUAACUUUUAAAAUCUCACUCAUAUAGAAGAAAGCAUUCCAUGCAUAUUUUUAAUAUUAUCCUUUUCUCUGGCUUCAGUUAUAGUGUUUUUAGUUGGAGUAUUUGAAACUAUACACCCUAGAGACCUCCUUCUACAUUAGUUAAUAGGGCUCCAGUGCAUUUGGUGUUCUUUUGAUUUGGCACUAUUCUUUGUCUCCUUCUUAUUACAGCUUAACUUUCAUUUGAUCUGCUUUCUUAUUUCCUGUUGAAACUUUUUCAAUGAAAUAUCCAUGGUAGUGCUCACGUUCUUUCUUAUGAUUUAUUUGAUUUAGAGAACUGUAGUGCUGAGGUAGAGAGAGCUGCCUUCUGCCUUGCAUUUCUAUCAGUUAAUUUAACAGCAGCUAUCUGUCCUACAUUCAAUUUCAUCUUUCAUUAUGUGACAUUUUAACAAUGUUGUGAGAUUAUUUGGAAAUUCUACAGCCUUUUGGUUUUUUAUUAUGAACUCGUGUCAGCCUGAAAUGAUGUCAUUUCAUUCACUUCACUUCAGACUCUUUCUUGGAUAUUAUAACCCACAUCUGUGGAUGUUUCUCUGCUUACACCCCUUCUUUUUAUUGAAUAAAAUAUAUAGGCACUUCCUUUGCUGACAACUUUCCACGUUCUUAUAAAACCAGAAAACAAUGAUUCCCUACAUCAGGUUUUGAUUCCAUCAGUAACAAGAAUAUUUAGAAAAUUUGUAUGAGUAAAUGCAAUAAUUUUAUUUUUAUUGUAUUUUAAGGGAAGAAUAAAAGUAAACAUGGAGCUGGACUAAGGUCACAUUCAUUCUGAAAUAAAUAUCAAAAUAUGCAAAAUAUAUAAAAAUUAUAACCAAAUAUAUAAAAAUUAUAACAAAGUAGUUAUCUUCUCCUUGCAUAGCACAGAAUAACAGGCACAGCUUCUUUAAUGGACUAUACCUACAAUGUGCCAUCAAGAAGGAAGCUUACAAAGCAGGCUUUGUAUGCUCUAUAUAAUUAGAGUGAUUAGGAAGAAUACCUAUGUAUCAGGAGAAGCAAAUAUUAGAGUAAGGGUAAAAAAAAGGUUUUUCUUAACAGCUUCAGCCCGCAGAGAUAAGGUAAUCCUGCAUGUCAAACACACGCCACAAACCGAUCCACAAAUACUAUCGGCUAUCUGCUAAAAAGUAUAAAGCAAGUCAUUCAUUUACAGCAACCUGCUAAGGAGGAUAAAUCCUCAAAGGCUAAUGAAGUAAAGGGCUCUGAGCAAGGAUUUAGCUAGUCUGUGUGCCUGGGAAGGAUGCUCUUUUACCACACAUCCACCCCCUGAGCAGCUUAUAGACGGCCUUCGAAGCAUCAGCACACACAAGCACACCUCCUGGUGGUUCUCCUGUGCAGCCCUGCCACCAACAAGCCUCGUGGGGCUCCCCAAAACCCCACAGGGUCACCAGGCUACUGCAGGCUUUUCUGAAUGCUGACAUAUGAAUUUUAAAAAAUGGGCUGUACAGCCUUGUAUUUCUGCUGUACUGACAAACACAGGUAGAUCUGAUUUUCCAAAAUCCUGAUUUCAGCGCACCAAACCAUUCAUGUGUUUGUAUCAGUCCUGGGAGAAUGUUUGCAGAAUAUCCUUGAGCCCAGGGUCUUGAGAACUCCAGGGCUCACCACGGAGUCACAGCUUCACCAUGUCCUUCCAAAAAAGCUGCAGGCUCACUGCCCAAAUCACUGUUGGAUCUAUAGUGUUUACAUAUAAA